rnacentral:rRNA from 1 species
UUGCUGCUUUGCUGACGAGUGGCGGACGGGUGAGUAAUGUCUGGGAAACUGCCUGAUGGAGGGGGAUAACUACUGGAAACGGUAGCUAAUACCGCAUAACGUCGCAAGACCAAAGAGGGGGACCUUCGGGCCUCUUGCCAUCGGAUGUGCCCAGAUGGGAUUAGCUAGUAGGUGGGGUAACGGCUCACCUAGGCGACGAUCCCUAGCUGGUCUGAGAGGAUGACCAGCCACACUGGAACUGAGACACGGUCCAGACUCCUACGGGAGGCAGCAGUGGGGAAUAUUGCACAAUGGGCGCAAGCCUGAUGCAGCCAUGCCGCGUGUAUGAAGAAGGCCUUCGGGUUGUAAAGUACUUUCAGCGGGGAGGAAGGUGCUGAGGUUAAUAACCUCAGCAAUUGACGUUACCCGCAGAAGAAGCGCCGGCUAACUCCGUGCCAGCAGCCGCGGUAAUACGGAGGGUGCAAGCGUUAAUCGGAAUUACUGGGCGUAAAGCGCACGCAGGCGGUCUGUCAAGUCGGAUGUGAAAUCCCCGGGCUCAACCUGGGAACUGCAUUCGAAACUGGCAGGCUAGAGUCUUGUAGAGGGGGGUAGAAUUCCAGGUGUAGCGGUGAAAUGCGUAGAGAUCUGGAGGAAUA